rnacentral:sRNA from 2 species
UCCUAGCCCUGAUGGAAGUGUAAAUCCUUUUUUGCUUUUAGCUUUAAGCUAACAAAAAAGAUUGUAACGCACAGCAGGAAAAUGG